CCUACGGGUGGCAGCAGUGAGGAAUAUUGGUCAAUGGCCGGAAGGCUGAACCAGCCAAGCCGCGUGAAGGACGAAGGUGCCAAGCAUUGUAAACUUCUUUUGUCAAGGGACAAAAUCAGGUUCGAGAGCCUGACCGAGGGUACUUGAAGCAAAAGCAUCGGCUUACCCCCGGCCAGCCACCGCGGUAAUACGGAGGAUUCGAGCGUUAUUCGGAUUUUUUUGGUUUAAAGGGUGCGUUGGCGGACUGUAAAGUUAGCGGUAAAAGCCCGGGGCUCAACCCCGGCUAGCCGUUGAAACUGGCUGUCUUGAGAUGUCGAGAGGUAUGCGGAAUGCGCAGUGUAGCGGUGAAAUGCUUAGAUAUUGCGAAGAACUCCGAUUGCGAAGGCAGCAUACCGGAGGCGAUCUGACGCUGAGGCACGAAAGCGUGGGUAUCGAACAGGAUUAGAUACCCUGGUAGUC
rnacentral:rRNA from 1 species